GGCCGGGAGCUGGGUCCCUCCUCCUCACGCGGUGGUUGUUACUCUACCUGCCGGGCCCUCGCGAGGGUGAUGGAUUUUGAGAAUCUUUUCUCCAAACCCCCCAACCCGGCCCUGGGUAAAAAACCGACCACGGACUUUGAUGAAAGAAUCGAUGAUGGAAUAGAUGAUGCAGAAGUUGAAGAAACACAAGAAGAGAAAAGAAAAACACAAGAAGAGAAAAUAAAAUGGGAAGUAAAACUGGAAUGUGAGCAAAUACCCAAAAAAUUUAGGCACUUUGGGAACUCCACAACAUCCCCGAAAAAUUUGCAAUAUAGAAAAUCAAGAAGUAAGGACUAUGAUGUGUAUAGUGAUAAUGAGACCUGCAGUCAGGAAUCAGAAGAUAAUUUUGCUAAAGAGCUUCAGCAGUAUAUACAAGCUAAAGAAAUGGCAAAUGCCGCGCAAUCCUUAUCAUUUCCUGAAGAAUCAAUGAAGAAAGAGGGAGUGAAGGAUACCCAGAAAGCUGUUAAACAAAAAACUAAAAACCCAAAAGCUGUCCAGAAGAAUGGUAAGCAGAAGAAAAUGAAGCGAAAACGGGCUGGUGUGGGCCAGAAAGGAUCCAACACUUCCUUGCGGAACAGAAGCUCACAGGAACAGGAUGAUAAACCUAAGGAGAAGCAGCCGCGUGUGAGAAUGAGUCAGGGAUUCAUCAACCAACAUACAGUGGAACGCAAGGGGAAACAAAUUUGUAAAUAUUUUCUUGAAAGGAAAUGUAUUAAGGGAGACCAGUGUAAAUUUGAUCAUGAUGCAGAGAUAGAGAAGAAAAAGGAAAUGUGUAAAUUUUAUGUACAAGGAUAUUGUACCAGAGGUGAAAACUGCCUAUAUUUGCAUAAUGAAUAUCCUUGCAAGUUUUACCAUACAGGAACAAAGUGUUAUCAGGGUGAAUAUUGCAAGUUUUCACAUUCUCCCCUGACUCCUGAAACACAAGAAUUGUUGGCCAAAGUUUUGGAUACUGAAAAGAAGUCAUCAUGAAAAUAAAAGGCAUAAGAAAGUUUUGUAUAGAUGAAGAAUACUUAUGCCUACGCCCGUUCAAGACUGUUGAUUUGGAGUGGUUUACAAGAGUCCUCAUUUAAAGCGCCCUCUUGUGUCGGUAUGAUGUUGUGCAUCUUCUUUAAUGGAUGGUGUGGAGGGGACAGAAUCUAGUUAUGAGUGAGGGAAUUAGUCUUCACCAAGAUACUCCAGCCGGUGGAACAAGAGGGGAGCAUAUAUGGCAGAGAUGCUGGCUGCCAAAGGCAAGCUGAUAAAUGUGAGUCAAGAAUCAAACCUCCAUUUAUCUGUCCAAAGUUCAUGUUUCUCCCCUGACCACCUUCUUCACUGAAGACAGUUUUCUUUCAGGCAUGGAGCAGUAACUGGGAAGGAAGAGGUAUAUUUAAAGGAAAGGAGAAAAUGUAUAUUUUGGGUCUGCAGGGAUAAGAUGCCCAACUCAAUUCAAAGUGGGGUUGAUUCCCAUAAAAUUUGUAACACUCUCCACAUGAUUUAAAAAUAAAGUAAGAAAAAAGGGCAUAUCUUUAGUUGCUAUGUGUCAUUCUGGGAUAUGUGUUUAUUUUCAUAGUUAGUAUCUCUGUAUUUGGAAUGUAUUUUACAGUUGAUGGAAUAUCACAUUUUACUCAGCAGGUUGUUUUUUCUUACUGGUGCAUAAAAAAUGAUGGAUCUUACUGAUAAGUUAGUGACAUUUAGAUUUGAUUGAAUGUAAUUUUUAAAUUGAAUUUAUGUAUGUAUAUAGUCAAAAGUUUACUGUGAGAUAAACUUAUGAAAUUUAUUUUGGAUUAAUAAAUUAUGAAAACAUAAGA